GACGAACGCUGGCGGCGUGCUUAACACAUGCAAGUCGAACGGAAAGGCCCUGCUUUUGUGGGGUGCUCGAGUGGCGAACGGGUGAGUAACACGUGAGUAACCUGCCCUUGACUUUGUGAUAACUUCAGGAAACUGGGGCUAAUACCGGAUAGGAGCUCCUGCUGCAUGGUGGGGGUUGGAAAGUUUCGGCGGUUGGGGAUGGACUCGCGGCUUAUCAGCUUGUUGGUGGGUAGUGGCUUACCAAGGCUUUGACGGGUAGCCGGCCUGAGAGGGUGACCGGCCACAUUGGGACUGAGAUACGGCCCAGACUCCUACGGGAGGCAGCAGUGGGGAAUAUUGCACAAUGGGCGGAAGCCUGAUGCAGCAACGCCGCGUGCGGGAUGACGGCCUUCGGGUUGUAAACCGCUUUCGCCUGUGACGAAGCGUGAGUGACGGUAAUGGGUAAAGAAGCACCGGCUAACUACGUG
rnacentral:rRNA from 1 species